GAUGAACGCUGGCGGCGUGCCUAAUACAUGCAAGUCGAGCGAACGGACGAGAAGCUUGCUUCUCUGAUGUUAGCGGCGGACGGGUGAGUAACACGUGGAUAACCUACCUAUAAGACUGGGAUAACUUCGGGAAACCGGAGCUAAUACCGGAUAAUAUUUUGAACCGCAUGGUUCAAAAGUGAAAGACGGUCUUGCUGUCACUUAUAGAUGGAUCCGCGCUGCAUUAGCUAGUUGGUAAGUUAACGGCUUACCAAGGCAACGAUGCAUAGCCGAACUGAGAGGGUGAUCGGCCACACUGGAACUGAGACACGGUCCAGACUCCUACGGGAGGCAGCAGUAGGGAAUCUUCCGCAAUGGGCGAAAGCCUGACGGAGCAACGCCGCGUGAGUGAUGAAGGUCUUCGGAUCGUAAAACUCUGUUAUUAGGGAAGAACAUAUGUGUAAGUAACUGUGCACAUCUUGACGGUACCUAAUCAGAAAGCCACGGCUAACUACGUG
rnacentral:rRNA from 1 species